ACAAUUGCCUGCUCCUGUUUUUGCAUUGGUUUGUAGUUCUCCUCAAUGCAUUCUUUGCCAAACCCUUCUAGUUUGGUAAUAUCUUCAAUCUUCUCAUAAAUUGACUGCAAAAUAUUUAAAGAGUUAAACUUAUUGCCAUCACCAAUCUGACACAUAGCAAGAUAUAUAUUUAUUGAAAUACCCGAUCAUUUGAAGUUUGUAGCAUCAUGAUUUCUUCUGACAUACAUUGAAUCCUUUGUUCUUCAUUGUCAUCCAUUAUCUCUUCUGGAUUAUUCUCAUGCUUGUUCUGCACAUUUGCAGUUAGCAUAAAGAUAUUUAUAAAGGUGAUUAAACUGGAAAACACAUGUUGAUUGAAAUACCUUAUCAACUGAAAAUUCUGACUUACUAAUCAUUUUUUAUUUAUAUUGCUUGGGAUCUUCAUUUACCAUUGGUGUUUCAUCUUCCUUUUUACUUCUUUUGCUAUUCAUCUUCUUCUGCUUUAAUUUAUGCCCAGUUUGUGGCUUCCAUUCUUGAUCGGGCUCUUCUGUGAUGAUAUUGCCGUUGCUCUCAGAAUACCUCUCUCUUGCAAUAGUAUUUUGCUGUUUGUACAAAUAUUUAAAUUAUAUUAUUUGUCUAUUUAAAUAUAAAUUGACACAUAUGAAAAUUGAUAUUUCGUAUUUAUGUAGUACCUGAUCAACAUUUAUCUGAACAUUUGAAUCUUCUGAUUUACUUAAUCUUCUCCCUGUAUUUUGGUUCUUCUUUUGCUUGUGUUUUAUCUUUUGGAGGGUCUUUGCUUCCUCAUUGUUGGUGAUGUUGCAUUUCCUGUCACCCUUUAGGUCCGCUGAAUCUGUGGUGUAUUCUCUCUACAAUAAAAAAAAAACAUUUGUUGAUUCAUUGAACUCAAACAAAAAGAAAGAGUUUCUGUUCAUUCAAAUACCUCAUAAGUUGAAUUUUUCUGCUCGAUAUCAACUGUUUUGCCUUUUCUUUUUUCAUGAGCAACUUUUUUCCGUUUUAUUUGACCUCAUUGAACUCAAACAAAAAGAAAGAGUUUCUGUUCAUUCAAAUACCUCAUAAGUUGAAUUUUUCUGCUCGAUAUCAACUGUUUUGCCUUUUCUUUUUUCAUGAGCAACUUUUUUCCGUUUUAUUUGACCACCAGUUUCUUUAUGCUUCCUCUUUUUAUUAUUUGAUGUCUCUUGGAGGCUCUCUCUGUUUUUAUUGGUGCUGAUGUUGUCUUUCUUGUCAUCCUUUUGCUCCUUUGAAUCAUUGUUGUAUUUUCCCUAAAAAACCAAAAUUUGUUGAUAUCAUUGAACAAAAAAAAAAACAAUACAAAUUCAAAUACCUCACAAGCUGAAUGUUUAGUCUCAAACACAACUAUUCUGUCUUUUCUUUUUCUGUGAUGAAUUUUCUUCCUAUUUGUUUGACCACAAUUGUCCUUGUGUUUCAUCUUUUUGCCACUAAUCUUUUUGCUUAAUCUUAUUCCAGUCUCUAUAGCAUCUUCUAAUUUUUGUUUCGCGUGAUUGAAGUCAACAUCUGAGCCUUCAAGUUCAAGUGUUGUUUUUUGCAUACUUGUCUCUUUGUAGUCUUCUUCUGAGUCACUGUCUAUUAUAAUUGUUUUAUUCCUUCUUUUCAGAUUCAGUUUUCUUGAUGAUGAAUAGUUUCCUUUACAUCAAUUUUGAUCCAUGCUGAUUCCAUCGCUAUCUUCUAGUUCUUCUUUACCAUGCGUCACUAAGAUCGAUGCCUUUUCGCUAGUUGAAUCCUUGAUGCAGCAUUUUGGCACGUAUAUCUUUUCAAGCACCUUAUUUUUGGCCUCUUCCAAUUUACUUGUUUGUUGUUUCAUUAUAUCUUCCAUGUCCUGAUCAAUCAAAUCCUGACAAACAGAAUACACAAAGAUAACAAUUAAUAACAUAAGGUAAUAUAAUUACUCAAAAUAUGUAGAAAGUAUUUUUUUACCUUUUUAGCUUUAUCAUUCAAGAAUUUUGUCUCAAGCUUGUUGUCAGGCACAAAUGUUUUUUUUACUAAGUAUCUUGGUUUUUCUUCAGUCAAAUUUUGAUUGCUCAGCUUGAACAUAAAGAUAAGUGUUUUUCCACAUAGUUGUUGUAUAAUCUCUGGUACAUCUUCAGUAUUUCCAUUCAGUGAAUCUAGUAAAUCUGAGAUAGAUGUGCUGAGCAUUCUCUGUGCCUCAUCAUCAAAUAUAGUGCAGGUAAUAGUGGUUGUGUGGUCACUGAUUUCCAAUCGAAUCCAAUACCUAUUAUAGCACAGUUGUUAGCGCAAUGAAAAUUUAAUAAAAAAAAAAGUUAAUAUAGUGCAUGUAGAAUUGAAGCAAUGUUGCUGAAAGCUGGUACACCAUGUUUACCUAGGUGUCGACUUUUUUGGGUAUUCUUUGCAAUUGUUACAAUAGUACUUGUCAUCUAUCUUAGUGCACAUUUUGCUGCAAAUGUUGCAUGACAUGUACCACCACUUAGCAUUUUCUUGCAGCUUAUCUAUCCUUGCUUUUGAUGUAAAUACAAAAUCCUACAAAUAAAAAAUUGAGUGUUAGAAUUUUAAAAACACAAUAUUAGCUCCAAAAGAAAUAUUGAUGUUAAUACUUGAUUUGUUUGGUUGUCAUGUCUUAUUUCAGAGAUUUCUCGUAAUGUCCUUCUGUUAUAAAACAUUUUCUCCUCUAGUGUCCCAUGUGUACUUUUGUUUACCUCCAUCAUUUUUGAUAAAGUUUCUUCCCUUGAGUGCCUAAAAAAUAUAUCGUUAAUAUGUAAUAAUUAUAUAUGUACAAAAAUUCUUUUAUAAUAAUAUUUUGAAAAUAACAGAACAUACUGCAUACCUGUCAAUAAGAUUCCAGGUUUCUGGUACAUCUAAAUCUGUAUACAAUCUUAUGGCGCUAGUGGUCUUUAGAGAUAUAACUGUUUGAUUCAUUUAUAUGUUAGCUUUGUUGAUCAGGGAGCAUUAUAAUAUAUUACAAAAUUGAUUAACUUACCUUUGAACUUUGAAGCUUCAACCAUUGUUGAUGUAACAAUAAGAACUGUAUGCUUUCCAAUUACAUCUUCACUCAAAUAAUGUGCUAGCUCUCCCCAUAAUGUAAUUUUAGCCUUUUCGCCCCUAAAAUUUGUUUUGAAACAUUUAAUGUUCAAACUGAAUGCAAGAAAAAAUUCUUUGCUCUCCAUAAAUUUAAUUAAUAGCCUUUCUUACUCUAACAGGAGAAGUUCAAUCUCAUGAAUAUCUUUCGUUCGCGGAUUGGCAGUGUUCUUCAUUAUUGUCCUUUGUUGUACUCGUAAAAUAUUGGGAAUCAUCUUGGGGUGGUUACUGUACAAUUGCUUCUUUUUUUUUCAAAUGUUCCAUUGGAUGCAAAGCAAGGUUAAAGAGAUAGAGAUGCAGCCAGCUUCAAAAGAAUAAAAAUAAAUAGAUGCAGAAUACUUUUGCAGUUAGAAAAACAUGAGAUGAUAUGCAAUGUGUAUGUCAAUACAGUGACAGUCUUGAGACAUUACUCAGGUUUGUCUGUUGUUAUAUUCUGUUAUUUUCUUUCUCUUGCCUUCUAACACGGUGUUUAUACAUGUACCAUUGAUAUGAAGAUCUGGCUUAACCAUGUCAUCUUAUUUUCUUUUUUUAAUUCAUUCUAAUUUCUUUUGUUUUGUUUAUAGAUCGUGUCAACAAACCUAGUUGACUCUUUACUGUGCACCAGAGAAGCCAUGAAUGUCAUGCAAUACCAAGAGAAGGAAGGCCAUAUAUUUAACAUGGAUGGAGCAGGUUCUAGAGGAUCAAGUACACCAUUGACAGCUGUCUAUGGUUCAACUCAGAAGAUCAAAAGUUGGAGUACACACUGCUCUCCUGGUAUGAUCCUCGCAGACAUCUUUUUAAGUGACAGCCAUGAAGAUGAGAUGUGCAAGUAGCAUACCAGAAGUUGACUACAGCUUGCUAGAUCAAGCAACUUGUAAUCAAUCUGCCAAGUUGAAGCCAGAAGUUGGCGCUGGAAGUUGACUUCAAUCAAUAAAAGAGAGAGAUCUAGAUAUAGAGCUUAGGUGAAUCAAGCAAGUCGGCCAGAAAUAGUUCCGGCAAGAAAUCCGUUGUCAGGUGUCUGCAUUGUUGUAUGGCGAUGCAGUCCGUUGUCAGGUGUUUGAAUUGUUGUAUGGCGAUGUAGAACCAAGAAGCACGUUCUUUAAUAUAUAAACAGAAGAAACGCAUCCAACUGGAGUUUGUAUC